AUCGCUUCUCGGCCUUUUGGCUAAGAUCAAGUGUGGUGUAUUUUCUUCCAGUCUAUUUUCUAGGCAUACAUACAGAGAAAUAGGUCAUACAAUUUCACGAUAUUAGAAACAUUUUUCCAUGUCAUUACUUUUAUGAUAUCAUUUAAAAAAUUUAUAUUCUAGUUAACAGACAGUGCAAUAUUGGUUUCAGGAGUAGAAACCAA
rnacentral:snRNA from 1 species